rnacentral:rRNA from 1 species
UAGUCCACGCCGUAAACGAUGGAUACUAGCUGUGCGGCUUCGGCUGCGUGGCUAAGCGAAAGUGAUAAGUAUCCCACCUGGGGAGUACGUUCGUAAGAAUGAAACUCAAAGGAAUUGACGGGGGCCCGCACAAGCGGUGGAGCAUGUGGUUUAAUUCGAUGAUACGCGAGGAACCUUACCAGGGCUUAAAUGUAGAUUGCAUGGUUUAGAGAUAGACCUUUCUUCGGACCAUCUACAAGGUGCUGCAUGGUUGUCGUCAGCUCGUGCCGUGAGGUGUCAGGUUAAGUCCUAUAACGAGCGCAACCCCUGUUGUUAGUUGCCAGCGAGUGAUGUCGGGAACUCUAACAAGACUGCCGGUGCAAACCGUGAGGAAGGUGGGGAUGACGUCAAAUCAUCACGGCCCUUACGUCCUGGGCUACACACGUGCUACAAUGGCCGGUACAAUGAGCAGCCAUACCGCGAGGUAGAGCGAAUCUAUAAAACCGGUCUCAGUUCGGAUCGGAGU